rnacentral:rRNA from 1 species
ACGAACGCUGGCGGCGUGCCUAACACAUGCAAGUCGAGCGAUGAAGCCCUUCGGGGUGAAUUAGCGGCGGACGGGUGAGUAACACGUGGGUAACCUGCCUUAUAGAGGGGGAUAGCCUUCCGAAAGGAAGAUUAAUACCGCAUAAAAUGUUUGUAUCGCAUGGUACGAACAUCAAAGGAGUAAUCCGCUAUAAGAUGGACCCGCGGCGCAUUAGCUAGUUGGUGAGGUAAAGGCCCACCAAGGCGACGAUGCGUAGCCGACCUGAGAGGGUGAUCGGCCACAUUGGAACUGAGACACGGUCCAGACUCCUACGGGAGGCAGCAGUGGGGAAUAUUGCGCAAUGGGGGAAACCCUGACGCAGCAACGCCGCGUGAAUGAAGAAGGCCUUAGGGUUGUAAAGUUCUGUUUUCUGGGACGAUAAUGACGGUACCAGAGGAGGAAGCCACGGCUAACUACGU